ACAUUGAUGGUCCAGUGGUAAAAUUCUUGCCUUCCACGCUGGAGACCCAGGUUCGAUUCCUGGCCAAGGCA
rnacentral:tRNA from 1 species